AACGAACGCUGGCGGCGUGCCUAACACAUGCAAGUCGAGCGCGAAAAGGGCAACCUGAGUAGAGCGGCGCACGGGUGCGUAACACGUGGGUAAUCUGCCUUAGAGUCGAGGAUAACCUUCCGAAAGGUUGGCUAAUACUCGGUAAGCUUACGGUGUCUUCGGACGCUGUGGGAAAAGUAGGCCUCUGUUUACAAGCUUACGCUCUGAGACGAGCCCGCGGCCCAUCAGCUAGUUGGCGGUGUAACGGGCCACCAAGGCAACGACGGGUAGCUGGUCUGAGAGGACGAUCAGCCACACUGGAACUGAGACACGGUCCAGACUCCUACGGGAGGCAGCAGUGGGGAAUUUUCCACGAUGGGCGAAAGCCUGAUGGAGCAACGCCGCGUGUGUGAUGAAGGUUUUCGGAUCGUAAAGCACUUUCGACUGGGACGAAAAACCUUUGGCUAACAUCCAGGGGCCUGACGGUACCAGGAGAAGAAGCACCGGCUAACUCUGUGCCAGCCGCCGCCGUAA
rnacentral:rRNA from 1 species